UUCUCAAAGUCAUUUCUGAAUUGUCUUGAUUGUGUUUGAGCUCUGACUAUUUGGCAUAUGCUUUCCAGUUCUGUGGUUGAGUUUUUCUUCUUCAGUAUUUCCAGUGGCCUGUUAAGACUGACAAGACAUCAUGUCUGAGGUAGCAAUGAACUAUCUGGUUAUUCUACUAAUUGGCUGAAAUUCUCCCUGUUUGAGCCUUGGACUCAUUAGCUCCUGCUUUGUGGUGCUUUUCUGGCUGACAUCAUCAGGUGUGUUUCACCUCUGCUUGUGCCAUGAUGUUACAUGCUCCUGAACCCUGACAGUUUCAGCCCACCAGACCAGCUCAAACUGAAAACAGAACUCAUUUAUGCUAUAGCAGCUCCAAAGCAAAUAAAUAACCCCACAGCAUCAAUAUAAAAUAAUUUCAGGAUCCUCCCUUGCCAUAGCAUGCAUUUCCUUAUAAAUUGACAGCAAUGUUGAUAGUU